AUCAGCAGCCGCCGGGACCCAACUAUCGUCUUCCUCUUCGCCCGCUCUCCAGCCUUUCCUCUGCUAAGUCUCCAUCGGGCAUCGACCUCGCCCUGCCCCACCGGACACCGUAGCAGCAGCUCCAGCAGCGACGGGACAAAAUGGGAGAGUGAGGCUGUCCCGUAGGGACCAGCUCGUGGCCAAGACUGAUCGGUGCGUCGGGCCGGGCCGAGUAGAGCCGGGGAUGCGGGGCUAGACAGUCUACAGCGCCUCUGAGCGGAGCGGGCCCGGCCCGUGGCCCGAGCGGCGGCCGCAGCUGGCACAGCUCCUCACCCGCCCUUCGCUUUCGCCUUUCCUCUUCUCUCUCCCUUGUUGCCCCGAGGGAGUCUCCACCCUGCUUCUCUUUUCUCUUCGCUCCUGCCCAUCUCCGGACGGGGACCCCUCCAUGGCGAAGGCGGCCGGGGCCCGCUAGGCCGAAGCACCUCGCCGGAGCGACGAGGCUGGUGGCGACGGCGCUGUCGGCUGUCGUGAGGGGCGGCCGGGUGGGAUGCGACUUUGGGCGUCCGAGCGGCUGUGGGUCGCUGUUGCCCCCGGCCGGGGGUCUGGAGAGCGGAGGUCCCCUCAGUGAGGGGAAGAAGAGGGAACCGGGCGCACCUGGUGACCCUGAGGUUCCGGCUCCUCCACCCCGCGGCUGCGAACCCACCGCGGAGGAAGUUGGUUGAAAUUGCUUUCCGCUGCUGGUGCUGGUACGAGGGCAUUGUCACAGCUGUAGCAACAUGUCGACUGGGGACAGUUUUGAAACUCGAUUUGAAAAAAUCGACAACCUGCUGCGGGAUCCCAAAUCGGAAGUGAAUUCGGAUUGUUUGCUGGAUGGAUUGGAUGCUUUGGUAUAUGAUUUGGAUUUUCCUGCCUUAAGAAAAAACAAAAAUAUUGACAACUUUUUAAGCAGAUAUAAAGACACAAUAAAUAAAAUUAGAGAUUUACGAAUGAAAGCUGAAGAUUAUGAAGUAGUGAAGGUGAUUGGUAGAGGUGCAUUUGGAGAAGUUCAAUUGGUAAGGCAUAAAUCCACCAGGAAGGUAUAUGCUAUGAAGCUUCUCAGCAAAUUUGAAAUGAUUAAGAGAUCUGAUUCUGCUUUUUUCUGGGAAGAAAGGGACAUCAUGGCUUUUGCUAACAGUCCUUGGGUUGUUCAGCUUUUUUAUGCAUUCCAAGAUGAUCGUUAUCUCUACAUGGUGAUGGAAUACAUGCCUGGUGGAGAUCUUGUAAACUUAAUGAGCAACUAUGAUGUGCCUGAAAAAUGGGCACGAUUCUAUACUGCAGAAGUAGUUCUUGCAUUGGAUGCAAUCCAUUCCAUGGGUUUUAUUCAUAGAGAUGUGAAGCCUGAUAACAUGCUGCUGGAUAAAUCUGGACAUUUGAAGUUAGCAGAUUUUGGUACUUGUAUGAAGAUGAAUAAGGAAGGCAUGGUACGAUGUGAUACAGCGGUUGGAACACCUGAUUAUAUUUCCCCUGAGGUAUUAAAAUCCCAAGGUGGUGAUGGUUAUUAUGGAAGAGAAUGUGACUGGUGGUCGGUUGGAGUAUUUUUAUACGAAAUGCUUGUAGGUGAUACACCUUUUUAUGCAGAUUCUUUGGUUGGAACUUACAGUAAAAUUAUGAACCAUAAAAAUUCACUUACCUUUCCUGAUGAUAAUGACAUAUCAAAAGAAGCAAAAAAUCUUAUUUGUGCUUUCCUUACUGACAGAGAAGUGAGAUUAGGUCGAAAUGGUGUAGAAGAAAUCAAACGACAUCUCUUCUUCAAAAAUGACCAAUGGGCUUGGGAAACACUUCGAGACACUGUAGCACCAGUUGUACCUGAUUUAAGUAGUGACAUUGAUACUAGUAAUUUUGAUGACUUGGAAGAAGAUAAAGGAGAAGAAGAAACAUUCCCUAUUCCUAAAGCUUUUGUUGGCAAUCAACUACCUUUUGUAGGAUUUACAUAUUAUAGCAGUCGUAGAUACUUAUCUUCAGCAAAUCCUAAUGAUAACAGAACUAGCUCCAAUGCAGAUAAAAGCUUGCAGGAAAGUUUGCAAAAAACAAUCUAUAAGCUGGAAGAACAGCUGCAUAACGAAAUGCAGUUAAAAGAUGAAAUGGAGCAGAAGUGCAGAACCUCAAACAUAAAACUAGACAAGAUAAUGAAAGAAUUGGAUGAAGAGGGAAAUCAAAGAAGAAAUCUAGAAUCUACAGUGUCUCAGAUUGAGAAGGAGAAAAUGUUGCUACAGCAUAGAAUUAAUGAGUACCAAAGAAAAGCUGAACAGGAAAAUGAGAAGAGAAGAAAUGUAGAAAAUGAAGUUUCUACGUUAAAGGAUCAGUUGGAAGACCUAAAGAAAGUAAGUCAGAAUUCACAGCUUGCUAAUGAAAAGCUGUCACAGUUACAAAAGCAGCUAGAAGAAGCCAAUGACUUACUUAGGACAGAAUCGGACACAGCUGUAAGAUUGAGGAAGAGCCACACAGAGAUGAGCAAGUCAAUUAGUCAGCUAGAGUCCCUGAACAGAGAGUUGCAAGAGAGAAACCGAAUUUUAGAGAAUUCUAAAUCACAAACAGACAAAGAUUAUUACCAGCUGCAAGCUAUAUUAGAAGCUGAACGAAGAGACAGGGGUCAUGAUUCUGAGAUGAUUGGAGACCUUCAAGCUCGAAUUACAUCUUUACAAGAGGAGGUCAAGCAUCUCAAACAUAAUCUUGAAAAAGUGGAAGGAGAAAGAAAAGAAGCUCAAGACAUGCUUAAUCACUCAGAAAAGGAAAAGAAUAAUUUAGAGAUAGAUUUAAACUACAAACUUAAAUCAUUACAACAACGGUUAGAACAAGAGGUAAAUGAACACAAAGUAACCAAAGCUCGUUUAACUGACAAACAUCAAUCUAUUGAAGAGGCAAAGUCUGUGGCAAUGUGUGAGAUGGAAAAAAAGCUGAAAGAAGAAAGAGAAGCUCGAGAGAAGGCUGAAAAUCGGGUUGUUCAGGUUGAGAAACAGUGUUCCAUGCUCGACGUUGAUCUGAAGCAAUCUCAGCAGAAACUAGAACAUUUGACUGGAAAUAAAGAAAGGAUGGAGGAUGAAGUUAAGAAUCUAACCCUACAACUGGAGCAGGAAUCAAAUAAGCGGCUGUUGUUACAAAAUGAAUUGAAGACUCAGGCAUUCGAGGCAGACAAUUUAAAAGGUUUAGAAAAGCAGAUGAAACAGGAAAUAAAUACUUUAUUGGAAGCAAAGAGAUUAUUAGAAUUUGAGUUAGCUCAACUUACAAAACAGUAUAGAGGAAAUGAAGGACAGAUGCGGGAACUACAAGAUCAGCUUGAAGCUGAGCAAUACUUCUCGACACUUUAUAAAACCCAGGUAAAGGAACUUAAAGAAGAGAUUGAAGAAAAAAACAGAGAAAAUUUAAAGAAAAUACAGGAACUACAAAAUGAAAAAGAAACUCUUGCUACUCAGUUGGAUCUAGCAGAAACAAAAGCUGAGUCUGAGCAGUUGGCUCGAGGGCUUCUGGAAGAACAGUAUUUUGAAUUGACGCAAGAAAGCAAGAAAGCUGCUUCAAGAAAUAGACAAGAGAUUACAGAUAAAGAUCACACUGUUAGUCGGCUUGAAGAAGCAAACAGCAUGCUAACCAAAGAUAUUGAAAUAUUAAGAAGAGAGAACGAAGAGCUGACAGAGAAAAUGAGGAGGACAGAGGAAGAAUAUAAAUUGGAGAAGGAAGAGGAAAUCAGUAACCUUAAGGCUGCUUUUGAAAAGAAUAUCAACACUGAACGAACGCUUAAAACACAGGCUGUUAACAAGUUGGCAGAAAUAAUGAAUCGAAAAGAUUUUAAAAUUGAUAGAAAGAAAGCUAAUACACAAGAUUUGAGAAAGAAAGAAAAGGAAAAUCGAAAGCUACAACUGGAACUCAACCAAGAAAGAGAGAAAUUCAACCAGAUGGUAGUGAAACAUCAGAAGGAACUGAAUGACAUGCAAGCGCAAUUGGUAGAAGAAUGUGCACAUAGGAAUGAGCUUCAGAUGCAGUUGGCCAGCAAAGAGAGUGAUAUUGAGCAGUUGCGUGCAAAACUUUUGGACCUCUCAGAUUCUACAAGUGUUGCUAGUUUUCCUAGUGCUGAUGAAACUGAUGGAAACCUGCCAGUUGAUUCUGCCUGCAUUCCUUAUUUAUUUAUCUCCUAUUCUUGUCUUCUAGUCAAGAAUUGAAGGUUGGCUUUCAGUACCAAAUAGAGGAAAUAUCAAACGAUAUGGCUGGAAGAAACAGUAUGUUGUGGUAAGCAGCAAAAAAAUUUUGUUCUAUAAUGAUGAGCAAGAUAAGGAGCAAUCCAAUCCAUCUAUGGUAUUGGACAUAGAUAAACUGUUUCAUGUUCGACCUGUAACCCAAGGAGAUGUGUAUAGAGCUGAAACUGAAGAAAUUCCUAAAAUAUUCCAGAUACUAUAUGCAAAUGAAGGUGAAUGUAGAAAAGAUGUAGAGAUGGAACCAGCACAACAAGCUGAAAAAACUAAUUUCCAAAAUCACAAAGGCCAUGAGUUUAUUCCUACACUCUACCACUUUCCUGCCAAUUGUGAUGCCUGUGCCAAACCUCUCUGGCAUGUUUUUAAGCCACCCCCUGCCCUAGAGUGUCGAAGAUGCCAUGUUAAGUGCCACAGAGAUCACUUAGAUAAGAAAGAGGACUUAAUUUGUCCAUGUAAAGUAAGUUAUGAUGUAACAUCAGCAAGAGAUAUGCUGCUGUUAGCAUGUUCUCAGGAUGAACAAAAAAAAUGGGUAACUCAUUUAGUAAAGAAAAUUCCUAAGAAUCCACCAUCUGGUUUUGUUCGUGCCUCCCCUCGAACGCUUUCUACAAGAUCCACUGCAAAUCAGUCUUUCCGGAAAGUGGUCAAAAAUACAUCUGGAAAAACUAGUUAACCAUGUGACCGAAUGCCUUGUGGAAUCGUGUGGGAUGCUACCUGAUAAACCAGGCUUCUUUAACCAUGCAGAUCAGACAGGCUGUUUCUUUGACACAAAUAUCACAGGCUUCAGGGUUAAGAUUGCUGUUAUUCUAUCCUUGCUUUGGCACAACACACUGAGGGUUUUUUUUUUUUUUAUUGCGGGUUUGCCUACAGGUAGAUUAGAUUAAUUAUUACUAUGUAAUGCAAGUACAAUUGGGGGAAAGCUUAGGUAGAUAUAUUUUUUUUUAAAGGUGCUGCCUUUUCGGAUUUAUAAGAAAAUGCCUGUCAGUCGUGAUAGAACAGAGUUUUCCUCAUAUGAGUAAGAGGAAGGGACUUUCACUUUCAAGUGGAACGGCCAUCACUAUCAAGAUCAGCUCAUGGAAGGAGUAAAGAAAAUAUCUCAAAAUGAGACAAACUGAAGUUUUUUUUUGUUUUUUUUUUAAUGACUUACGUUUUUGUGCUCUUGCGAGACUAUACAAAACUAUUUUAAGAAAGCAGUGAUAUCACUUGAACUUCAGUGCCCUCACUGUAGAAUUUAAAAGCCUUACUGUUGAUUGCCCAUGGUGGACUUCAUGGAGAAAUUAAAUAUCUUUCAUUAUGCUUUACAAAAUACUGUAUAUGUUUCAGCAAGUUUGGGGAACGGGAGAGGACAAAAAAAAUUACAUUUAAUCUAUGCAUUUUUGCCAAGCCAUAUUGAGUUAUUUUACUACUAGAGACAUUAGGAAACUAACUGUGCAAAAGAACCAAGUUUAAAAGCAUUUUGUCGGGUACAUCAUUUCUAUAAUUGUAUAAUGUAUUUCUUUGUGGUUUUAAAUGAUAAAGACAUUAAGUUAACAAACAUAUAAGAAAUGUAUGCACUGUUUAAAAUGUAAAUUAUUCUUAGAACACUUUCAAUGGGGGUUGCAUUGUCCUUUUAGUGCCUUAAUUUGAGAUAAUUAUUUUACUGCCAUGAGUAAGUAUAGAAACUUCAAAAAAUGUAUUUUCAAAAAAUUAUGUGUCAGUGAGUUUUUCAUUGAUAAUUGGUUUAAUUUAAAAUAUUUAGAGGUUUGUUGGACUUUCAUAAAUUGAGUACAAUCUUUGCAUCAAACUACCUGCUACAAUAAUGACUUUAUAAAAACUGUCUGCAAAAAAUGUAGAAAGUUGCAUCAGUAUGAAAAGGAAAUUAUGGCAAUACAUCCAUGAUGUUUUCCAGUUAACAUAGGAAUUUCCAGAUAAAUACUGUUAAACUCUUGUCCAGUAACAAGUGUUGAUUCAUAUGGGCAGUAUGAUUUAUUGUUUUUUUUUUAACCAAAUACCUCCUCAGUAAUUUAUAAUGGCUUUGCAGUAAUGUGUAUCAGAUAAGAAGCACUGGAAAACUGAUCGUCUCUAGGAUGAUAUGCAUGUUUCAAGUGGUAUUGAAAGCCGCACUGAUGGAUAUGUAAUAAUAAACAUAUCUGUUAUUAAUAUACUAAUGACUCUGUGCUCAUUUAAUGAGAAAUAAAAGUAAUUUAUGGAUGGAUAUCUUUAA